rnacentral:rRNA from 1 species
UACGGGGGGAGCAAGCGUUGUUCGGAGUUACUGGGCGUAAAGCGCGCGUAGGCGGUUUCUUAAGUCUGGGGUGAAAGGCUCAGCGCUCAACGCGAACAGUGCCUUGGAUACUGGGAGACUUGAGUCUGGGAGGGGGCAGUGGAAUUCCUGGUGUAGCGGUGAAAUGCGUAGAUAUCAGGAGGAACACCGGUGGCGAAGGCGGCUGCCUGGCCUAAGACUGACGCUGAGGUGCGAAAGCGUGGGGAGCGAACGGG